AAAAGCAAUAAGUAAACAUACUUAUUUAAGGGAAAGAAAAAGGGAAACAUAUGAUAUGGAAGGGAUUGACUGUAUCCAUCAAGAUAAUGAAAAGCGUGAGAAGAGUAAGGAGUUGGAACAAUCCAUUUGUGAUGAAGCUUAUGCAAAGGAGCGUAAAGCCAACGAUGAUGCAAAGCGCGGUGAAUCCAGUAAAUCAAAAAAUCAGAAAAUAGAAGGAAAAGCGCGAUGGAAAAGAAAAGAUAAAAGUAACCAUAUUCAUCAAGCUUAUCAUAAACAUAACCAUAUCCACGAAUUUCAGCAAGAAACCAAGGAGCUGUCAGAAUAGCCAUACCGGGUAGAUUUUUUAAAGCAACCAUCAAUUCCAGAUGCUCCUGAUUUUUUAAAAAUUUAGGGUGCCUUCUGGCCUCCUCUCGAUCAAAGUACACAUAAUAUGCAAAACUGGCAGACAAAAAGUAAGACAAUGUGCCCAUAAUCCAGGUAAUGAGGAACAGGCUGGUGAAUUGACGCCACACAUUGUUACGAUCAAGUAAUCCCGACGUGAUAGCAAAGUUUACUUUCUCAGCAAGACCCAAGGUGGUAGAAUUUACAGCAGUAUUAGCAAAAGAGGAUGAGCUAUCGAACGAUUCAGCAAUCUUUCCAUAAAAGGUGUCAAAGACAUAUUUAUCAGCGUACUGCAAAACGACAUCCAUUUUUUUUGAAUUACAGGAAGAGAUUGGUCACAAAAAAAAAAUGCAGUUGAAUACGUUUGUAAUUGAAAUAAUAAAGCUAAAAAAUAAAAAAAAUCUCGAUUGUUCUCCGGCGAAAAAUGAGUAUGAUAAAGAAUAACUAGAAAAUCCGAUUCAAUCCAGCAAAAAUUCAACUUCCAAAAGGGAACACGAUCGAUUUAAAAUAAAAACAAAUCAACCGAUUCUAGCAAUAAUAUGUAAUUAAAAAAAACUGAUUCAAGACUUGGUAUCUCAGGAUGGCAAAGUUUACAGUUAGCAAAACUGGGAAUGCCUUCCUUAUAUAUCAUCAGAUAUCGAUAGACCACAUUAGAUAUCGUUAUCCUAAUUUUGCCCGAUCGAAAAGUAAAUAAAAUCAGCCGAAUUGCUCGAAUUGAAAAACUAGGAGAAAAUCUUGUUUAGCCCACGAUUACAAUUCUUCUGAUUAAUAUCCAUACAUAUCUAAAUUAAAUAAUACUACUAGGAAUAUAAGAGUAGUGAGCUUUAAUUGAGAUAUAAAAAAGAGAGCAUAUUUCUUUGUUGUAUUAAAAGUCAUUGAAAUAUUAAGGAAUACUAAAACAUUAGGAUUAGUUUUUGAGCAUUUACAUUGGUCAAUCUUUAAUUGGCAAUCAUCGGAGUAAAAUCUGAAUCUUUAUUUAUGAUCAUGCAAUGUCAUUUAUGUGCAUAGCAGCAAACUCAUUUUCAAAGAAACCUGUAUCACUGCGCUCAAAAGAGUAGGACCACAAAGAUUCCGGGAUGUAUUCCAUCAUGUUGCUUGCAGCAAGCUCUUCAAUUGAUUUUUUUAACCUCAUUUCCUCUAGGAUACAAAACUGAUAUAAAGACUUGCACUUUUUCCCAUAUAGGCGAAUAUGAUAAAACCUUAUUAAAAUAGCCAAGAAUGUUUCUUGAAGUUGCGCUGAGCGGUAAGUGUCAGAGCCAUUUUCGUGAAACAUCCAACUAUCUCGAAGAUCUAAAGAACAAUUUAGGUAUAUCUGCGUUAUUAUACUCAUAUUGGCUUGCUUCCAUUUUAGGCCAAGAAAAGGUACACUUAAUUUUAACACCUUUAGUGCAUAUAGACGAAGCUUAUCGUGAGGGAUGGCUAGUAACUUCUUUAGAUUUUCGUGCAAGUUACUCCUUGCAAUGAUCUCCUUCCUUAUAUUUGAAUAUUUACAAACUUUCUCCAAAACGCGUAAACAGUUCAUCGUUAUAAGUAAGUUUCGAGAAGACGAGGCUCUUGUAAUCACAGGAAUACUGACUCUGUCAUAUUUAUACAUUUUCGAGGAAUAUGAAAAGAAUCCUCCGCGCACGCACUUUACAUCCUUUUCGGUAUUCCUAUUACAAUCCCCUUCUGUAAGGUGACGAUUGAAAAUUUCCAAAAAAUGAUUUUCAUACAAUAAAAAUGCUAAUCUUUCAAAACGUAGCACAUGAGACAAGCGAAACCAUUUCAACAUCAUCAAAAAUAGACUUGACAAAGAAUAUAGCACAAAUUCGAGGUUAUUUAUUGAAUGAGAAAUCUCACCCGAAAUUGCGAAUCCUGUUGCAAAGUCUUCCGUAUAUUCAAUUUUUACAUUAGACUUACGAUUCCUAGCAGCCUGUUCACUUAAUUCUUCAGUAGGCGAGUCUACAACUGCAUUGUCUUGAAUUCGUUGUAAAACAGCGUCUGAAGAAGAGAAAGCCUCUACGUAAAGGCAAUUAACUUUUUUUGAAAUAUGGUAAAACAGUUGGACUGCUAACUGAAUAAAAUUAUCCAUAUACGGGAAUAAGUCAUCAUAGGAUUGAGAGACAAAUUUAAGAACAGGAUCUUCUGUUUCAAAUGAAUGAGCAGGUCCCUUCACUGAAUUGUAAAACUCAUGCAGAUCUGCAACGAGUCGUUGCUGCAAAGUAAAGCGACGUAAAAGCUCUCUUUCAGAUAACAAUUGUUCAACCGCUAGAGUUCUCUUCGUUUUAUUUUGGAAAACAUUGGCAGCCUCUGUAACACUGUAAGGUAUUGUAAGCUUCUCCAAGUUAGGGGUAAAGCAAAAUGGUAAAUUUUGGUUAGUUUGAAAUUGUUCCCUUCGAGCGGACAUUUUGCUGGUUUUUGCAGUAUUCACCAAAAGUGAUGGAUUUUCGGGUGAGCAAAGUCGGGUACUAGAUAUAAAGGAUGAUUU